ensembl:lncRNA
CGUCUGUCCUGGUGCAACGUCUUGCUACGACACACAUUUACCUGUUAAAAAGUGCCUGAAAGCAUCAUUGUAAUCUAUCUCCUUGUAUACUAAAAAAGAGAAAAGAAACAGAAAAAGAUCAAAAAAUGAAAUAAACCCUAUUGUAUUGAUUAGUUUUGUUUUUUACAAUCCAAAUUUUUACCUCUGUAAAAAGCAAAAAAAAAUCUAUAUCAAGUGUAUGAUGUACAUUUUUAUUAUUAUUAUUAUUAUUAUUGUUGUUGUUUUUGUUUUAAUUUAUGGAUUGAAUAAACAUGGAAUAAAAAGUUCAAAGUGUCUGAGUGUAUGAACGUGAGGUUUUUAAUGCACAGGCCUAACCUGUAAGUAAGAUUUAAAACACAUGCACACACACACACACACACACACACACACACACACACACACACACACACACACACACACACACACACACACACACACACACAGUGUCCGCUCUCUUACAGUUCUCCAGUGAUGUUUCUGAUUUACCUCCAUGUGUUUGUAGAGGAUAAUUGUUACAGGAGCAUAAUCACCAGUGAAAGCACACACAGCACAUAAUCACAGCCCCCACUAACACAACCCGGCCCAUCCUAAUGAUUAAUGACAUCGGGCUUCAGCAGGCCUCUCGGGGGGCCUCCAUUCACUUGUUCCAUGGGUUCAUGGGUUUUAAACAGUCAAAAUGGACUUUUGAGAAAAGAAAUAAAUAAAUAAAAAAUCUAAAACCAGGUAAAAUAAGAACUUUUGCUGUCAAAUAUUCAUACACAACUGAAAAUGCGUUAAUAUAAUCUGAAAUCUAAUAAUCUGGAAGAAAUAUUUAAGGGUUGCUAAUAAAUAACUGGCGCCAAUAGGGGGAGACAGAGACUAAUCCACAAUACAGCAGGUCCCAAUAAAUUUCCAGUCAACAGUAGCCUAUUUAUUUAUUUUAACCAACGUUUGUGAUAAUUGAGGAAAGAGAGUUUAACUCUUCUUGAAAAGCCAUUUUCAUAAAAGUGAAAUUUAAUGAGGUUCAAAAUCUUGCUUUAAAUAUCUUGCUUUCUUUAUUUGGAAGUCACACUAGUUUAACUGGCUUAGAUGUGUCUUUUAC